ACCUUGAUGCUACCUGUAAAAAUAUUUAUUCACCUAACCAAAAGUUUCAGCAUGCUUUUUUCCUGAACUUUUUUUUACCUAGGAUUAUUCUAUUGAGAGAUUUUUAUUUUACUGUCAUUCAAAAUCUUAUGAGUGAUCAAGCCAAACAAGAAUGACUUUAUCAUAUAUUUUAUUUUCUUGCAGUUAAUUCAAAAUUGCAUGACCUAAAAUGCACUACAUUUCAUCUAAAUGUUUGCAUAGCCACUACUAGCAGUGUUUAAUACCCCAAAUAAUCCAGUCG
rnacentral:lncRNA from 1 species